rnacentral:rRNA from 1 species
CCUACGGGGGGCAGCAGUGAGGAAUAUUGGUCAAUGGGCGAGAGCCUGAACCAGCCAAGUCGCGUGAGGGAGUACUGCCCUAUGGGUUGUAAACCUCUUUUGUCGGGGAGCAAAAGCCGGACGUGUCCGGCUGUGAGAGUACACGAAGAAAAAGCAUCGGCUAACUCCGUGCCAGCAGCCGCGGUAAUACGGAGGAUGCGAGCGUUAUCCGGAUUUAUUGGGUUUAAAGGGUGCGCAGGCGGAUUUUUAAGUCAGCGGUAAAAUCGUGGGGCUCAACCCCAUCCAGCCGUUGAAACUGGGGAUCUAGAGUGUGCGAGAGGUAUGCGGAAUGCGUGGUGUAGCGGUGAAAUGCAUAGAUAUCACGCAGAACCCCGAUUGCGAAGGCAGCAUACCGGUGCACAACUGACGCUCAGGCACGAAAGCGUGGGUAUCGAACAGGAUUAGAUACCCGAGUAGUC